rnacentral:lncRNA from 1 species
AAAGGGCAAGCAACGCCGCCUCCGCCGUCAUCCCCCGAACGUUGCCUCCGCUGUCAUCCCCCAAUGCAGCCAAGAGGAUCAUCAUUUUCAUCUUCUUCUAUGUGUUGCAGCUGAGAGAAUCUUCAUCUUCUCCCAUGUGUUGCAGCCGAGAGAAUCAUCAUCUUCUUCUCCCAUGUGUUGCAGUUAAGAGGAGUUUUUUCUCAUGUGUUGCAGCCGAAAGGAUCUUCGUCUUCAUUUUCUCUAUGUGUUGCAAUCGAUAAGAUCAUCAUCUUCAUCUUCAAUGUGUUGCAGCCGAAAGGAUCAUCAUCUUCAUCUUCUCUCAUGUGUUACAGCUGAGAGGAUCAUCCUCUCUAUCUUCUUCAUGUUGCAGCCGAGAGGGAUCAUCAUCUUCAUCUUUUCCCAUGUCUUGCAGCAAAAAAAAGCAUCAUCUUCAUCUUCUCCCAUGUGUUGCAGUUGUCAUCAUCUGCAUCUACGACGUGCUGCAGCCGAUUGAAUGAAUCUUCAUCUAAACACUGAGCGUCAUGAUGAGUUGCAUCAUCUAUCAUGUACAAACCUAAGAAGCUGAAGCUGAAACAAUGGAACUCAUGAUAGAGUUGCAUCGUCGAUCAUGUAUAAACUCAUGAAGCCAACAAAGAAGUAAAAGGAGACCAAACCAAAAUGCUUGCAUAGAGCCUUCAAGGGAAUAACUGGAAAAAAAAAAAGUCAAAGUGAAAGAAGUUAUGAGUAAGGAAAGUUAAUAAAUAAACAAAAAAAAAAUUGCAAAAAUUGAAAAAAUUGAAAAAAUUGAAAAAAAAUUACUUUGAAAGAAAAGGGAGAACAAUUUUUUUAAAAAAAAAAGAAGAAAAAAGAAUGAAUGAAAGAAAGAAAAACAAGAAAAGAAAAGAAGAGUUAAAAAAACAGUAAUUGAAAAGAAAAAAAAAAGAAAGAGAAAAAGAAAAACCAAAAAACAACAUAAAAUCGAAAAAGAAAAAAGAAAAGAAAAAGAAAAAGAAAAUAAAAUAAAAGACAAAAACAAGAAGAAAAAAAAAGGCAUUUCAGAAAGUUUUUAAAAAGAAAAAAAGGAAAGAAAAAAAAAACAAUUCUUUUCUUUCUUCUUCCAAACGCGUUAAAAAAAAUUAAUAAAACAAAUAGAACAUGAAUCAUUAAGGGGCCGUUUG